rnacentral:rRNA from 1 species
AUUGAACGCUGGCGGAAUGCUUUACACAUGCAAGUCGAACGGCAGCACGGGGGCAACCCUGGUGGCGAGUGGCGAACGGGUGAGUAAUACGUCGGAACGUGCCCGGUCGUGGGGGAUAACGUAGCGAAAGUUACGCUAAUACCGCAUACGAUCUGAGGAUGAAAGCGGGGGACCUUCGGGCCUCGCGCGGUCGGAGCGGCCGAUGUCAGAUUAGGUAGUUGGUGGGGUAAAGGCCUACCAAGCCGACGAUCUGUAGCUGGUCUGAGAGGACGACCAGCCACACUGGGACUGAGACACGGCCCAGACUCCUACGGGAGGCAGCAGUGGGGAAUUUUGGACAAUGGGCGCAAGCCUGAUCCAGCCAUUCCGCGUGCAGGACGAAGGCCUUCGGGUUGUAAACUGCUUUUGUAUGGAACGAAAAGGCUCUGGCUAGUACCUGGGGCUCAUGACGGUACCGUAAGAAUAAGCACCGGCUAACUACGUG